UGUACAAUUGAAGAAUCCAACGCAAAAUGACCACCCGCGUCGCUGCUGUAGUGAUGACUGAUGAAAAUUUCUAAAGUUAGGAAGAUUGAAACGUGGAAAAAAAUCGAUCCACUUCAAAAUGGAUAUUGAACCGAGGCGGUUUUGUAUCGUGCCGAGAUGUCAUUCUACUGGAAAUAAGUUGUUUCGAGUUCCCAAGCCCUGUAGUAAAGUAUUUAAACGAUGGCAAAAAAAUCUGACAAUAACAGGUUAUGGUGAUGAAUUUAUUUGUGAAAAACAUUUCAAGUCCGAUGAUUUUGUCGAAAAUACGAGGAGAAAAUUGAAACUAUCCGCAAUGCCUACAUUAAAGCUGCCUUCCGCUUCUAAAAAGAUAACGGUACAGCCAGGAUGUUGCAUAACAGAUUGUACUUCCAAGCGUGUCGGGUAUAUGGAAAAAUUUCCUCAGAAAAAGACAUCGUCGUUCCGGAAAUGGUUAACACUUCUAGGAAUCACAUCGGAAGAAGUAUUGAAAAAUUCUAUAUAUAUUUG